rnacentral:rRNA from 1 species
AUGCUCUAUUCACACAUGGUGGAGGCAACCCAACAAGUUGUUACGGAACCAGCAGAUAAAGAGUCGAGGAACCCGCAUCAUAGGAGAGUCAUCGAGGGGCAUCCUGAUAACGCUAUGGACAAUGAUUGCUUCAACACCGCCGUGCGUAUACUGGCAUGUGACGAGGGAGUAUUGUUCACAGACCCUCCUAUACACUACAUGGAUCUAAGAUUUUGUAGUCAACAAAAGGUCAGAAGUUUGGCUAGAAGGAAACUAUCCAGACGUUGGCAGCAUUAUUUGAUAGCUGGCAUAGGAUGGACAACAACAUCUCAUCAUGCAACAUGA